AUUGAACGCUGGCGGCAGGCCUAACACAUGCAAGUCGAACGAGUGGCGGACGGGUGAGUAAUGUCUGGGAAACUGCCCGAUGGAGGGGGAUAAGUACUGGAAACGGUAGCUAAUACCGCAUACAAUCGGAUGUGCCCAGAUGGGAUUAGCUAGUAGGUGGGGUAACGGCUCACCUCGGCGACGAUCCCUAGCUGGUCUGAGAGGAUGACCAGCCACAGUUGACCGGAGCCACGCGCCCGACUCCUCCGGGAGGCAGCAGUGGGGAAUCUUGCACAAUGGGCGCAACCCUGAUGCAGCCAUGCCGCGUGUAUGAAGAAGGCCUUCGGGUUGUAAAGUCCUUUCAGCGAGGAGGCGUUACUCGCAGAAGAAGCACCGGCUAACGCCGUGCCAGCCGCCGCGGUAAUUC
rnacentral:rRNA from 1 species